rnacentral:rRNA from 1 species
AAUGCUAAAAGAAUGGAAAAUUAAAAAAAAACUUUUUUAAAAAUAAAAAUUGAAUUUUUUUUAAUUUGUGCAAAAACAAUUAUAUUUAUUAAAGACAAGAAGACCCUAAGAAUUUAAGAUUUUACAAUUAAAAAGUUUUUUUUUAAAAUCUUGAUUGGGGCGAUCAAAAAAUAUUAAUAACUUUUUAAAAUUUAAAUUGAUCUAUUAUUAAUAAACUAAUGAAUUAAAUACUCUAGGGAUAACAGCGU